rnacentral:rRNA from 1 species
AUUGAACGCUGGCGGAAUGCUUUACACAUGCAAGUCGAGCGGCAGCGCGGGGGCAACCCUGGCGGCGAGCGGCGAACGGGUGAGUAACAUAUCGGAACGUACCCAGUCGUGGGGGAUAACUAUCCGAAAGGAUAGCUAAUACCGCAUACGUCCUGAGGGAGAAAGCGGGGGAUCGUAAGACCUCGCGCGAUUGGAGCGGCCGAUAUCGGAUUAGCUAGUUGGUGGGGUAAAGGCUCACCAAGGCGACGAUCCGUAGCGGGUCUGAGAGGACGACCCGCCACACUGGAACUGAGACACGGUCCAGACUCCUACGGGAGGCAGCAGUGGGGAAUUUUGGACAAUGGGGGCAACCCUGAUCCAGCCAUUCCGCGUGAGUGAAGAAGGCC